rnacentral:rRNA from 1 species
UACGUAGGGUGCGAGCGUUGUCCGGAAUUAUUGGGCGUAAAGAGCUCGUAGGCGGCCUGUCGCGUCGGAUGUGAAAGCCCGGGGCUUAACCCCGGGUCUGCAUUCGAUACGGGCAGGCUAGAGUGUGGUAGGGGAGAUCGGAAUUCCUGGUGUAGCGGUGAAAUGCGCAGAUAUCAGGAGGAACACCGGUGGCGAAGGCGGAUCUCUGGGCCAUUACUGACGCUGAGGCGCGAAAGCUAGGGGAGCGAACGGG